rfam:Candidatus Micrarchaeota archaeon CG1_02_49_24 cg1_0.2_scaffold_14744_c, whole genome shotgun sequence.
GGGGGGAUGGGCCAACCUGGUAUGCUUCCAGCUUUGGGAGCUGGCGAUUUGAGUUCAAAUCUCAGUCCCCCCA